GAUGAAGAACGUAGCGAAAUGCGAUAAGUAAUGUGAAUUGCAGAAUUCAGUGAAUCAUCGAAUCUUUGAACGCACAUUGCGCCCGCCAGUAUUCUGGCGGGCAUGCCUGUUCGAGCGUCAUUUCAACCAUCAAGCCCCCGGCUUGUGUUGGGGACCUGCGGCUGCCGCAGGCCCUGAAAACCAGUGGCGGGCUCGCUAGUCACUCCGAGCGUAGUAAUACAUCUCGCUCAGGGCGUGCUGCGGGUUCCGGCCGUUAAAAAAGCCUUAUUUACCCAAGGUUGACCUCAGAUCAGGUAGGAAGACCCGCUGAACUUAAGCAUAUCAAUAAGCGGAGGA
rnacentral:misc_RNA from 1 species